GGCGCAUUCGUCUAGCGGCCUAGGACGCUACCCUCUCAAGGUAGAGACCACGGGUUCGAAUCCCGUAUGCGCUACCA
rnacentral:tRNA from 1 species